rnacentral:rRNA from 1 species
CCUACGGGAGGCAGCAGUAGGGAAUUUUCGGCAAUGGAGGAAACCCUGACCGAGCAACGCCGCGUGAGCGAAGAAGUUAUUCGUAAUGUAAAAUUCUGUUGACAGGGAAGAAAGAGAAAUUUAACGGUACAUGAAGACUAAACUCCGUCUAACUACGUACCAGCGGCCGCGGUAUUACGGAGGGCGCGCGAUUUAUCGAGAAGUAUUGGGCGUAAAGGGUGCGUAGAUGGCAUAGUAAGUUUUUUGGAAAAGUGCUGGGCCAAACCGAGAAGGGCAAAAGAUACUGGAAAGCUAGAGUAUGAAAGAGGAGAGUGGAACUACAUGUGUAGCGGUAAAAUGCGUAAAUAUAUGUAAGAACACCAGUGGCGAAGGCGGCUUGCUGGGUUGAUACUGACACUGAGGCACGAAAGCGUGGGGAGCAAACAGGAUUAGAUACCCUAGUAGUC